UGGGGAAUAUUGGACAAUGGGCGAAAGCCUGAUCCAGCCAUGCCGCGUGUGUGAAGAAGGUCUUCGGAUUGUAAAGCACUUUAAGUUGGGAGGAAGGGUUGUAACCUAAUACGUUGCAACUUUGACGUUACCGACAGAAUAAGCACCGGCUAACUUCGUGCCAGCAGCCGCGGUAAUACGAAGGGUGCAAGCGUUAAUCGGAAUUACUGGGCGUAAAGCGCGCGUAGGUGGUUUGAUAAGUUGGAUGUGAAAGCCCCGGGCUCAACCUGGGAAUUGCAUCCAAAACUGUCUGACUAGAGUACGGUAGAGGGUAGUGGAAUUUCCUGUGUAGCGGUGAAAUGCGUAGAUAUAGGAAGGAACACCAGUGGCGAAGGCGACUACCUGGACUGAUACUGACACU
rnacentral:rRNA from 1 species